UACAGAGGGGGCAAGCGUUAUUCGGAAUUAUUGGGCGUAAAGAGCUUGUAGGCGGUUUGUCGCGUCUGCUGUGAAAAUCCGGGGCUCAACCCCGGACUUGCAGUGGGUACGGGCAGACUAGAGUGUGGUAGGGGAGACUGGAAUUCCUGGUGUAGCGGUGAAAUGCGCAGAUAUCAGGAGGAACACCGAUGGCGAAGGCGGGUCUCUGGGCCGAUACUGACGCUGAGGAGCGAAAGCGUGGGGAGCGAACAGG
rnacentral:rRNA from 1 species